ensembl:lncRNA
GGAAAUGGCAACCCAUUUCAGUAUUCUUGCCUGGAGAAUCCCAUGGACAGAGGAGACUGGUGGGCUACACAGUUCAUAGGGUUGCAAAGAGUUGGACACAACUGAGCAACUGAACAACAGCAAAAACAUAAUAUAAUAUAUCCCUACACACACACCUAUUUUGACAGAAAGCUCCACUCCCCUCCUCCCCGUUUUGAUGAAAGGUAAACAGUUGGGAGUGGGCAAUUUCAGGUUGAUUUCUGAACUGGGAUGGGAAAGUGCUUCUGACUGAAAAAGAAAGAAUAGUUUUUUGACCAAAAUGGUCAGGAGGUGAUGAGGACUGACCUCCCCUCCCCCAGUCCUUGGCUGCCAAAUCUUAACUGCCUGAAAACUUAGAGAAAUGCUUGAUUAAAACUAGAAUAAAAAUCUCCAGUCGCCUUCAGCAAACCGCAGCACAAGGGUGGGAGAAGCUGUGCCAGGCUGCAGUCGAGUUACUUGGCGUCUGCUGAAAGCACGGCUCCCUUCCUGUUUAAUAAUUAAUUCAACUUUAAAGCCCCAAGGAUCUGGACUCAGCACCAGCUUCACAAAGCGGUGUGUGGAAGAGCGCUUCCAGAAAGACUGAACCUCAACCUGGGAAUCCAGUGCCCAACCACACGGACUGAGCCUCUGUGUGUGGGACAUCUCAGGAUCCUAAAGCAUCUGAGAGAGGGGACCCCAGUAAGGAACAGAUUAAAUGAAACAAAGGCCUGGCUGGCCAAGGAAAAGAGGAAAACAGGUUCAGAUUUGAGCUGAUGUCCGUUUUCUUCCCAAGCUCAUAGCACUUUGGGUCCAUUAGGGAGCCUACCCCACGCCAGUGACUGAAUCAUCCUGUACCUUAGUUUCCUGGCCUGUGAAAUGGGAACGAUCUUUGUUCUGAGCUCACCAGUCUGUGAUAAGAUUUGUGGCCUGAUGAGAGGAGCCUGGCGGGCUACAGUCCACAGAAUCGCAGAAGAGUCAGAGCAGAAGACAAGCGGCUUGGCGCGCACGCAUGCUCACGGGCCACACAACACGGCACCCUUCAAGUUCAAGAGAACAGCCCCUUCUGAGGUGCCCGUGACCCCUCCC